AAAUUUAAAUAAUAAACUAGGAUUAGAUACCCUAUUAUUUUAAAUGUUAAUUAUAUUUACCAGGGUACUAUUAGUUAAGGUCUUUAAACCCAAAGAAUUUGGCGGUAUCUCAUUCCAUUCAGAGGAACCUACCCCGUGAUUGAUAAUACACGAUUUACUCUACUUAAUUUAUUUGUUUGUAUAUCUCCGUUAUCAGAGAAUCUUUUUAGAGUUAUAAUUCUCAAGAUUUAUAAUUAUAAAAUAUUUCAGGUCAAGGUGCAGCUUAUAGUUAAGAUGAGGUGGGUUACAAUAGGUUUUUGUUUAUAACGGAUUUGAUGGUGAAAUACUAUUAAUGAAGGUGGAUUUGAUAGUAAUUUAAUUUAUUUAAUUUAACUGAUACUGGCUCUGAGGUGUGUACACAUCGCCCGUCGCUCUCAUUAUUGAUUAUUCUAUUUUAUUAUUUUAAGGUAGCUUCAAUUAUAGAUGAGAUAAGUCGUAACAUAGUAGAUGUACUGGAAAGUGUAUCUAGUAAGAGUUU
rnacentral:rRNA from 1 species